rnacentral:rRNA from 1 species
CAGCAGCCGCGGGAAUACGGAGGGGGCUAGCGUUGUUCGGAAUUACUGGGCGUAAAGCGCACGUAGGCGGCUUGGUAAGUUAGAGGUGAAAGCCCAGGGCUCAACCCUGGAAUUGCCUUUAAGACUGCCGAGCUAGUAGGUGAGAGAGGUGAGUGGAAUUCCGAGUGUAGAGGUGAAAUUCGUAGAUAUUGGGAGGAACACCGGCGGCGAAGGCGGCUUACUGGACGACAACUGACGUUGAGGCUCGAAGGCGUGGGUAGCAGACAGGAUUAGAUACCCGAGUAGUCCCUGUCUCUUAUAC